rnacentral:pre_miRNA from 1 species
CCAUUCCUCGAAGGUCCCCUGGUGAAUCGCUUUGUUCACUUUCAUGGUCAGAAGGUCCAGUAGUUAACAUUGCGGUUUUCUAGUGUUCUUCCGAUUUUUCUGGU